AACGAACGCUGGCGGCGUGGAUAAGACAUGCAAGUCGAACGGCCCGACAUUUUAGCAAGUAAAAUGUCGGGGUAGUGGCGAAAGGGUGCGUAACACGUGGCUACCUACCUCGAAGUUGGGAUAGCUCGGCGAAAGCCGGAUUAAUACCGAAUGUGAUCGUGAGAUCAAAGCUGGGGAUCGUAAGACCUGGCGCUUUGAGAUGGGCUGCGGCCUAUCAGGUAGUUGGCGGGGUAAUGG
rnacentral:rRNA from 1 species